GUAGCCCAGCCCUGGCCUUGUUCAUAGAGGCUUUGAGAAGUAGCUGAGAGUUUAGAUUAAAGAGUGAAUGUGAUGGAGGAGUUGUUUACCCGGUGAAAAGUAUCUGGAGUUCUCCCCUGAGUGUGGUAUCCACAUAAGCAGCUCCGGUAACUAGCUCAGCCACUGUCUUAAGCUGUCAUUACCACAUCCCGGGAGAAGCCCAGCCAGGUGUGGUUGAUGAUUGACCGUUUUUUCUGAACAAACACUGGGCACACGUUGCACUUUGACCUGGGAACUAAGACUGAAGGAUUGCAGCAAUCCAGCUACAUUAUAACCAAUUUCUAGCUGUUUAAUUAAGGAAGCUGCUUUUGCUGUUUCCUUGACUCCAGACUCUCCUCUCCUAUAUGUAUAGCAGGCAAAUCUUUUAAGCCAGGGCUUGUGUCUGGCUAGAUUUUAUUCCAUGGAAAAUAACAUGCGUACCCGAUGAAUAUUUGGCUUACAACAGAAGCAAGGUUUUGGAAAGAGUUCGGAGGCUGAAGAAGCCAGCAGACACUCUGCUAUAGAGAGAAGGAGCUACAGAUCCUCUGUUAGGACCCAGGCUGGAUGGGGGUUCGGCUUUCUGGAUUCUUGCUGUCCUCAUCACAUUGAUUAAAGCCUUCGAGCUGUGAGUGGCCCUAAUCCCAGAACUCUCCAGCAGAGGCCAGUGGACAUGGUGCAUCAAGGUCAGUCUACAUAAUGAGUUCCAGGACAGGCAGGCCUAAAGAGUGAGAUCCUGGUAGAGGUGGUGGUGGAGGUGGUGGUGGUGAUGAUGAUGAUGAUGACGAUGAUGAUUGACAGGGAUUUAUACAUCUCAAGCUUCCCUCAAACUGGAUAGCCUUAAACUUCUGGUUCUUCUUUACAAUCUGAGUCUUGGGAUAACACGAGUAUAUUAAUUGUGCUGUCUAUGGUAGUGGAGCUCAAGCCUAGGGCACCAUGAACAUUAGACAAAUAGUCUACCAAGUCUUCUGGCCGAGCUACAUCCCUACUUUCAAACUUUCUCAGUUUAUGUUUUUAUUUUAUUUUAGCUUUAAGACAGUGUCCCACUCCCUAGCCUUAUACUCAAGAUCAUACACUUGCCUUACUAUAGGUUGAAGAAAAGGUAGGCAUUUCUCUUCGUUUAUAAACACCCUUCUUAAGUUGCAAUAGAAUGUUGGUUACACAGUUAUUUCAUAGUGGGUUCUGUGGAGAUGAAGAAUUUUGCUUGAGUUUGCUAUGGGCCUGAACUCUUUUGUACAUGGCAAAUGUUUUAUCAAAUGUCUCUUCCCUUCUCUUCUCUUUUCUUUGCCCCUCCUCCCCUCACUCCUUUCUCCUUCCUCUCUUUCCUUCUCCUUCUUUCCCCUUCCUCCUCUCUCCUCCCCUCCUUCCUUCCUUUCUUCUCUUUCUUCUUCCUUCUCCCCUUUCUCCUCCUCUUUCCUUUCUCUCCCACCUCCCCCGCUCCUCCCCCCUCCUCUCUUCUCCCCUCUCUUUCUCCCUCUUUUCUUCAUUCAUCCUCUCCCACUUUCGCUUCCUUCCUUUUUACUUCUAAUUCUCACGUGUAUAGAUUUGUCCUUAUCUGUGUGUACGCAUGUCUUUGCGUGUGUGCAGACCUGUAAACAAGUGCAUUUGGGAACCAGAAAGAGGCUUAAGAAGCCCUGGAGCUGGAGUUACAGAUGCUAUGAGCCAAACAUGGGCGCUGUGGAAGAGCAGUGGACACUCUUAACUGCUGAGCCAUCUCUUCAUCCCAUUUCCUUUUGAUUUUUCAAAGAGGGCCUUGCCAUGUAUCCGAGGCUGGUCUGGAGCUCACUGUGAUCCUGUCAGGAUAGCUUUAAACAUUGAUUCUUCUGCCUUGGCUCCCCCGGCAUGUUUCAGGAGUACACCACCACAGCUGUUUUUUGUUUUUUGUUUUUUUUUAAGUAACUUCCUGUUUGUAAGCAUCAAUCAUUCCUGGUAUAAUGAUUCUUUCAUUUUUUUAAAAUUGGAAGUAUGUAGCUUUCGUUUCUACUUGAGUGAGGGUUUCUGUGUUAUCUUAAUAUGCUUCUUACCAUUCAACAGCAAGUAGCAUAGCAACCGAGAUAAUUAUAUAAACACUUGAUGUAAAAAUAUUCUAUCUAAAUCUGUGUAAUUAUAUAAUAACACAAUAUAGUAAGCUAUAUUUUCAGACUACCUCCUAGGCAUCCCAAAGCUUUCGUACAGAUGUGUUCUGGGAGGAACAGGAACAGGAAGGCAAGAAUCACCUAAGAGUUGGCACUAACUUUGAAAGUAGUCUCUGCAUUCAAGUUUCUCAAUUGCUACUUUGAAUAUUAAAAUGGUAAAGUAAGAAAAACAAAUUAUCUUAGCUUUCUGCUUUCUGAAUCCCUUCUAAGCUCACUCCUGCCUGCUGCUACAGUCCCGUGUUUAAGCAGUCUAGUUUGGUAAGCUUUAAGUGGUGGGACCAAGAAACCCGUGUUUUAACAAGGACUUCCUGAACAAGGUCGUGUUAUGAUCUACAUGUUUAGAAAAUACUGCUUUUAAAAAAUGCCUCAUUGAGGGCUAGAGAAAUGGUUCAGCAGUUAGGAGCACAUGCUCUUACAGAGGGCCUAAGUUCAGUUCCCAGUACCCACUUCUGGUGGUUCACGAUUGUCUCUAACUUCAACUUUAGGGGAUCCAAUGUCCUCUUCUGGCUUCUGUGGGUACAUACAGGUGUACACAUACAUGCAGACAGAACACAUAAGUAAAAACUAUAAAGUAAAUCUUUAUAAAAGUGUCCCAAGCUGGGUAUAGUAGUAUAUGCCAAUAAUACCAGUAUUCAUGAGGCUGAGGCAGGAGGAUUGAGAUUUCCAGACUAGCGUGUACUAAAAUAGUAGACAGUGUCUCUCAAACUAAAAGCCAAAGGAUCAGUAUUCUGAACACAAAGAAUUAUAUAUAUGCAGUUAUAAUAUAUAUUAUAAUUAUAGUUAUAAUAUAUAUGUAUAUAUAUUAAAGUCAGCUUUAUUGAGACCAUUCACAUGUUACACCAUUUACCUGUUUACUAUAUACGAGCUGGUGGCUCUUGGAAUGGCCAUAAUUAUGCAGUCACCACCACCUUCCAGCAUUUUUACCACACAACUAAGAAACUCCAUAAUCACAUGUAGUGCCCUCCCACUUCUCUCAACCCCACAGCAUAACUUUCUGUCAUUCUGUAUCCUAGAUAUGUUAUUAAAAUUUCUUUUUUUUAUGUGUGCGUAUGGGAUGUAUGUGCCAUAAUACAUGUAUGAAGGUCAUGGGAUAGCCUGUGGGAGUUCUUUCUAUCAUGUGAGUUCUAGAAUCAAAUUCAGGUCAGGCAACAAGUGCUUUCAUCCACUGAAAUGUGUUGACAGUUCUCACUGCUGGAAGUUUUGACUCUUGGCUGGGAGACUAGACUUUUCCUUCAGAGUUGUUUAGAGAAGUCUCUCAAGAUUAUGGAGGAAGAGAAGUCCCACCUUGUACCUCCUCUAUAGUAGAGAUCCUGGACAGCUGACGGUGCCAUUCCACUCCAGGCUGGAAGGUUUAUGAACUGGGGAUCAUGGUGUCAGUCUUCUGGUUGAAGUCCAAAUACCCCCAAGUUUGGAGUUUGGGUACCUGAGGGCCACUGGAGUCAAAUGCUUUUGCUCCUGAAGACAAAAGUGAUUGGUCCUUCUUUGCCAGUUAGUGGGAUGGUGCUUGCCCACAGCAGUGGGGUUGAUUUCACUUUGCCUACUUGUAAUGGUAAACCAUUCGCUGUCAACUCAACUUUGAGACGUCUGUGAGGGCAUUUCUGGAGAGGUUUAGCUAAAGUGGGAUAACCUACCCCAAAUGUGGUUAAUGUUGUCCUGUGGGUUGAGACCCCAGAUUGAAUAAUUGGAGAAACCCUAGCAUUCAUUGUACUCUGCCUUGUGACAGCACACACCAUGUUACUGGCACCCUUGCUUCUGGGGUUCCUAUCAUGACAGACCCUCCCUUUCUUGUCCAGACAGAUUUUCCUGCAUAGCUUUUGUCAUGCAUUUCAUCGAAAUUACCACAAAAGUAAGGAAUAAACCAUUCAAAUGCUAAUGCCUUACAGAACAAUCUCAGAAAUGUUUACAGAUAUGUCAACAUUCCUUAGCUCAAUCAAAUGGGCAUAAAAUUAUCCUCCAUGGGGCUCCUUCCUUCCAGCUCAGAUGCCAUUAGAGAGAGACAGAGGUCAGUUGGCAAGUGUCCUUAUUCUCCCAGAAGGCCUUAUGAGUUAGAAAGUCUGUAUGUGUUUCUGAGACUUGUUGCCACUGCAAAGCCAAGGUUUAGAGAUGGCUUUGAAGAUGGAGCCUCCCCCUGUAAUGGUCAACAGUUCAGUGACUAGAAUUUUCUUUGUUCUCUGUACAGAUUGGUAUUAAUGGAUUAGACAUCAUUUCUGAAUCUCUGUAGGAAUCUGUAGUGUUUGUAAGGACAGAUGCCCACAAACACUCGAGAUCCACAGUUAGCAGUGCUGUUUGGGAAGGCUGUGGAACCUUUAGGAGGCAGAAGCUUGCUGGAGGAAACAGGUCACUGGCGUGGCCUUUCAGCGUCUAUAGAAUCAUCCCAUUUCUAGCUCAUUGUCUCUGCUUCCUGCAUAUAGAUAAUUGUGAUCUCUCAGCUUCCUGUUGCCUUCGUUCCUCUCACCUGUUGCCAUACCGCCUGCCAUCAUGGAGUUUGUCCUUCUCAAACUGUAAGCCAAAACAAAUUUUAGUCGUAAUAACAAAAAAGUAGCUAAUAUAGCAUCUAUGUAGUGUCUUUUCUAAUUCCCGUCCUUCUGCACUUACAUGGUCUUGGGGCAUGAAACUUGAAGGCAAGUCAUGCCAAGUCCACUUCUGCUGGUCAAAUUCAGGCAAGUCAGCUAAGCCUUCUGCACGUUAGCUCUAAAAUCAGGAGACAGUACCAACUUAGACAAUGUGCAAUUGUUGCAAUUUAAGCAAAGAAGGGUUUAUUUUAACACCCAGUUGGAAAUACAUUCUAUCACCUGCAGAAGUCAAGGCCUUAGGAAUUUAUAGCAUGUUUACAUUGUGUCUGAUGUCAGGGAGGUGAGAGCAGUGAAUGUUGGUGGUCAGCUUAGGUUCUCUUUCUUAUUCAGCGUAAGGCUCAAGCCCAGGGAUGGACACCAUCAUUCUUUGAGGGUGAAUCUUCUCACUUCAGUUAACCUAACCAAGAGAACCCCUCACAAGCAUGCACAGAGGCAAACUAACCUAAUAAUUUCUUAGAGGUGUUGCUGGAAGUCUGUCUCCUAGGUGAUUCCUAAUCUAGCCAAACUGACAGUCAACAUCAGCCAACACAGACAUCUUCUGUUUGUUUAUCUGUUUCGAGACACGGUGUCUCUGUGUGGCCCAGACUGGCCUGGAAUCACUCUGUAGACCAGGCUGGCCUAGAACUCACAGAGAUCUGCCUGCCUCUGCUUCUUGAGUGUUGGGAUUAAAGGUGAGUGCCACUACCACCUGGCCACAGACGUCUUCUGAAGGUGAGAGAAGCUCUUGCCCUAUCUGCCGACUCUAAAAUCCAGCAUCUCUUAUUCGGGCGUUCGAGAGUGUGAGGGAAUCUUAACUUCAUUUGUUUAUUUAAAGAAGAGUGAAAACAAAAUACGAGGACUUGCACGCUUCUCUCAAGGCCUUCGUCAAGAAUAUUUGGAUGGAGGGAUGCAUGUCCUGGGGACGACAGGAAGGAGACGUCUGUCUGAAAGCAAAGCUGCACUUGGAACCUUCCAGAAUGGCAAAUGAGGCCAAUCUGUAGCUGGCAGAUACUGAGGAGCACAAUGGGGGGUUUCUCAGGAGAUCAAAGGGUAACCAAAUCAAGAACAACAGAGAAUAGCCCCUGAGGCUGAAAGUUCACCAGACAGAAAAUUCUUGGUAAUCUUGAUAUGUCAUCAGCCACUCCUACUCAAAAACCUUCUGACUAUUGGGUGGCAGGAACGUUUUGGAGAAGACAAAGAGUCCCCAGGAGCACUCAUAACCUGGAAAAGACCCAGUCUACGCUUUUCAAACUUGUACUGAUCUUCCUGGUGGCAUGACUGGGGACCUCUCUGUCAUUACCGAGGACCACAACCUGGAUUCCCUGGCCUCAUCUGUUUGGAUAUCAGGAGGGCAUCGGGAAUAAACAAUUUAUUUACAAGCAAUAAAACAUGAACUGUAAUAACCAUGUUUCCCUGGCUGUCUCCACCUGGCCAUGCUCCUCUUCUCGUUAUCUACAGUCAAGUGCACAGCAUGUUACAGCUGCUUAUAAAGGAAAUACAUCUUCUCCAUGAAAGGUGAUGCCUGCCUGGGUGCUGUGACCCACACCGGCGAGGGUUCCCUAAAGGUACCCAAUAACUGAAGGUUGCCCACUCUUCCUAAAGGAUGCAUCUGAGUCCCCUAAGCAGACAAAAUGGAAGUGGAAAGGAGACAUCCUUCUCUGGACACCAAGUACAGCACCUUCACGAUGUUUAGAACAUCUACAGACCGGGUCUCCAGUCUUCCUAUAAAAUAGUUCUGAAUGAAACCUGGGCACAGGGCUGGGAAGAUGGCGACAGGCGGUACCCUUGACCCUUCCUCCUCAGUCUAUGGGUUUUUCCAUGUGCGAGGGCUUCAUUACUGACAUGACCAGCAAACCCCCAGGAUUAGGGGUUAGGGUAGUGACUUGGUCAGUGGAACCCACAUCAAAGCAGAGAAGGGCAGCACAUGCUUGUAAAAACAGUGGUACAGAGGCAGAGGCAGGGGAAUCCUGGAACCUGCUGUUUGCUUAGUCCAACUGGUGAGGCUCAGGUUCAGUGAGAGACCAAAAAACUAAGGCGGAGAGUGAUUAAAAAAUACACGUCAUUGACCUCGGACCUCCACACACACAUGUGUGCAUACCUUCACACACACACAAAAAAAUCUAGAAUUUGAGAUCUUUGAGGGUGUCACCUGUGACCUUGGCUAUUGCUUAAGACAGGUCUGACCCACGAAGAUGAGUUUCCCAGAGUUAGAGAAUAAAAUGCAGGAAGCCAUUGAGAAGAGAGCACCCCAGAAUUGUUCAUGUUCAGAUCUCCUGAGUGUUACUAAUCUCUAUUGAAACUGUGGACAAAGGUUCUGCACACUUAAAUAAUGGACAGAAAAAAGAAUCUUUUCCUUUAGAGACCUUGAGAACCUCUACUUUGGAAACACAGUCUUCAUUGAUCCAAAGUAUAAUGCAAAAGUAGCUUUUAUUUUUAAAUGUAUACAUAUGCCCUGUUUUAAAAUUUUUCAUAAAUAUUGUAGCAGAAUAUUAGCUUCCAUUAUUUAUGAUCCUGUUGAACUUUGAGAAGAUUUGCUGACAGUAAAAGCAUAACGAUUUUAAGGAUAGUUCAUUUCACAUCACGGAUGACCUAGAAGGUCAUAACAGAGUUUUCAAUAACAUCCAAAGAGUAGAUACUGAGACGAUCAGAAGUUAGAAAUUGACAAUUAUGUUAAAAAUGGUUCAUAGAUUUUAUUUUUUUAGACAUUAGAAGUUAAAAAAUGACAUUUGACUGGGGUUCAGUGUUAUUAUUUUGGGAAAAAUUCCCUACUCAUAAGUGUGUGUGUGUGUGUGUGUGUGUGUAUGUGUGUGUGUGUGUGUGUGUGUGUGUGUGUGUGUGUGUUAUGUAGACCAGUAUGCCCUAAAUUUACAGUCCUCAUACCUUAGCCUUUGAAUUCUGGGAUUCCUUGGUCACAUCUCUAUGUCCUGUAAAGAUUCCUAAUGUUGUGCAUAUUCUGCCCAGUGAAACCUAAUCAAAUGGUUAUGGCUAGUGACUGGGAACGCUGAGUCAUGUCUGGAGCCAUCUUAAAAUGUCACAUUUUGAUGCACAAAACCAACAAAUAUCAGCAAAACAAGAAAUGACACUCUUUAAACAGAAACAAAAAUUUUAAAUCUCUUAACUUCCUAAUAAAAUAAUUUUAUCUUAUCGUGAGUUGAUAAAACUUUCAUUGUAUAAUAGCAUUGUAAGUAAUACUCAAAAGUUUUUGAAAGGCUUGUGAAUUCUAUAUAAGAUGUUUAAAAAGUGAGACCAACACCAUAUACUGAAACUAGCUAGGCUGUGUAUGGUAGUGGUACACAUCUUUAAUCCCAGCACUUGUGAUUUUUCCUAUAUAGUGAAUUUUAGGCUAGCCUGAGCUACAGGAAGCCCAUCUCAAAACAAGAGAAAGGAAAACCUGAAACGACAAAAAUAGAAAAUAAAUUAGCAUUUAGAUUUAAUUCCAGAUGGGAGUUUUAGGGGCUUGGCUCUGUUGUGUUUACAAUCUAUUCAGAGUUGUCAGGGAGAGAACACUGAGGGUUUCAAAUAUGCUGGCAGCUGAGACAGUUUUGACUUCGCAAAAGUGCUGAGAGAUUUAUUGAACCACACGAUUUCCUUUUAUGGGGGAUAGUUACAUCUUUUGGUUCCUAUCCUGUGAUGUUGUGUGGUGACCUGUAGGCUGCAGAAGUAAGCACGGUGGCUCUGAACCCCAGCACCUAGUGACAAGGACGGCCCAAGUCACUUAGAGCCCCAAAGCAUCAGUGAUGACCCAGGUCUUACCGGCUCUCUUCCAGGAUCUCUCCCUAUACUCUGUCACCGGGGUUCUUUUCCGAUGUUUAACUCUCUAGGCUCCUUAUCUGAGGACACUGAUGCAGUGGAUCUAGAAGGAACUUGAAAAUUUUGAAUAAGUGCCCCAGGAAGUUUAAAAACACUUCAAAAAGGUGACCUCAUCCAGGGCAAAGACAGGAUCACCAUCUGGGGAUUUGUGAGACCUCUGCUCUAGUGGUGGGUGGGGCAAGCUGCAGCUCAUCACCUCAUAAAGAACCUUGGACUAUGGGCUACAGGCAGUUGUCCCUCAUUCGUCUCUCAAGAGGCACGUCUUUCUUCUUUGACAAUGGGUUUUGCAUGGAUGUUUCUGUUUCUGUCCUGCUCUGUCUGGCACCUGCUCUAUACUCAGAGAACUGGUUUCCAACACUGGAUGCCGCCUGCAGCUUCUCUAUUGUGUAAUCCUUAAGUGGAACUGGCAACAGUUACCAACAGAGACUCCUGCAGUGUGCAGAUGCUACACUCAACCCACAGUAACCAUUACAGUUUUAAUCCGCUAAUCUCUAGAUUUCUUAGUACCUAGAGUAUCUCCCCCCUCCACUCCCCCCAUUCUUAGGGAAACAGCUAAACGGAUGGUUUAGAUAUUGCAAAAUUUUCAGCUUUUUCUCUGGCCAUUAAAUAAUACAGGCUAUAGCCCAUACUAGGGUAAAAAUAGCUGGGACCCUUGAUAAGCAGACCUGUGAAGUGUUUUUUGCUUUUUGUUUUGUUUUGUUUGUUGUUGUUGUUGUUAUUAAAUACUCGAACUGAGAAACUCUUACUCUUUGAAGAGUUUGUGUCCAUGAUCAUUCAAAGGAGGUGCUGUUUCAAACCGGGUUCUCAGCAGGGAGGUUUGCCUAAGUGUUUUCCAGUUUGUGUUCCCAGUUCCGGUGAACCUGGAUUUCUCAUAUCUUUAGGUUCAGUUUCAGGGUCCGAUAGUAAAUGAUGUUUAACAAACUCUAUUAGCUAUUCAUAUGCCCCAGCCAGCCCCCCAGUAAUCAAGGCGGAGUCCUGUGGAUUUUUAAAAUCAGCUCUAGCACAAUUACUGGGAGAUGAACCCUGAAUAUAUUUUUGUAAUCGCUAGACUGUCUAAUUCCCAGCUGUGGUACCCAAGUCUAUCCAAGCUGUUUGAGUCUUCCCGGUCUAUUUCAGCAGUCUGUCCCGGGGGGGAGCCAUACACUCAGGCACAUGCUCCUGGUGCGUUAAGUCCAAUGGAGACUUCCUGUUCUCUCUGUCUUCUUCCUCCUUCCUCUUUUCUUUCCCUCUCUUUCGCUUCUCCAUCCCUACCUGUGACCCAAGCCUGGUACCUCAGACUCUCCCUCUUCGAUUCUACCCAGCAGUUGGCCGUAACCACUUUAUUUUAACCAAUAGUUUUAAAUUGAGGAGCAAGGGUUACAUAGAAUCAACUUGGUGUAUACGAGGAUCUGCUGGUCUGGGGCCAAUAUUUAGCAUUUGAAUACAAAACAGGGUCAGACCAACCCCCCUCCCCAACAGGUAGACUUUCUAGUUAAUUACAAAUGGAACUGGGUGUUUAGUUCAAAUGAACCAAGUUCCCUGAGUCGAGAGAGAAAACUUACAAGCCAUUCCAUCUUUUAGACGUAGCCUUCACUUGCAUGUAGCACUUCUCCAGAAGCAAGUGACAAUCAAUGGAGACAUUUUCUGUUCUGUAUAGAGUAAGGACCAAUUUCACAUGCCAUAAUAGCUCAUUAGAUGUCAGAAAGAGUUGUUUUGAAACUUCCCGCUAAACCUGGUAUCUAUCUAUCUAUCUAUCUAUCUAUCUAUCUAUCUAUCUAUCUAUCUAUCUAUCUAUCAAAUUACUGCAAACAGCGAGCAUGUUUUCACAGAAUACAGAAUGAAGGAUUAUUUGGUUCCACAGCUGCAGGGACUGUGCCCGUCCAGCUAAUUGUUUGCUUGGUUUCAGGAACAUAAUUGCUGUUCCCUCAAUUCCUGCAUAAAUCAGGAAGCAAAUAAAUAGGCAUUUCUGCCAUUCUGGAGGGUUAUAGGUAAAGCCCGCUCAUGGGAUGGCAAGUUCUUUGAGCACGUUUUACCAUGGUUAAUGUGACAUAUUGUAUCCUUGAGAAAUGUAAGGAGAGUGGGUGUCAUUUGCUAGUACUUAAAAUGACAACUCCACAUGGUCACAUAUUUGUAAUUAGGAGGACUUAACCGUUCUAUCCAUAGUGUUUAAGUACUUCAUAAUGUCAUGUUGGCACAAUCAAAAUAUAUGAUGCUAUUUGACAAUUUAAAAAAAGCCUGUGGGCUGGUAAGGUAGCUUAGCUGGCAAAGGGGCUUGCUGCCAAGCCUAAUCCCUUGACUUCUAUCUCUGGAACUAUACAGUGGAAGGAGAGAACUGACUCCCACAAAUUAUCCUCUGACCUCCACACAUAUACACAAACACCAGAGAAACAAAUAAAAUAAAUAAUUUUUGAAAAGCUUAUACCCUGAAAGAAAAAGUAUGAAUCUUCAGAACCUCUCUCUAGUCAACCUUAGCCACCGUGGGACUGAAAACCACCGUCCUUUAGAGUGGGAGGUGAGGAUAUCUUUUCUGGCUAUGGUGGCUGUGCACCAAGUAUAGAGGUCUUUGCUCCCAUUGUCCUUCCUGCCAUCGCUGAAGCUUAACUUCUCUUUCUCUUCUACUGCAAACCAAAAUAAAGAAGGAGCAGUGUCUCACCUCUCACAGGUUUGAAAGAAUCCUUACAGGAUAGGGAAUAGGGCUGGAGUGAUGGCUCAGUGGUCAAGAACAUCUGCUGCUCUUCCAGAGGUCCUGAGUUCAAGUCCCAGAACCUGCAUGGCAGUGUACAACUUUAAUUCUAGUCUCUAGAUCCUGGUCAGGAUCCUCUUUCUGUUGUGGCCUCUGUGGGUAACAGUGCAUGUGUUACACAGAUGUACAUGCAGGAAAAACACCCAUACAAGUAAAUAAGUAAAACGUAAAACAUUCCCAGCAGUUGCCUAGAGGUAGCCUGAGCUCUCUUCAGUGCCACAGAAAUUGCUGACUCCACUAUGUUGCCCAGUGGCUGCUGCUCCAGGGUCUAGUAGUGACUUCCCUUUCCUUGAGCUCUCAGGCUUACCUAGCGCCACUCAGAGUGCACAACAGAGUUUCUACAGAGCAAAAUGAAAACCUUUCCCAAGCUCUGCCUGCUAGGACAACACGGGAUCAAGCCUUUCUACCAUAUGACCAUUCUGUGUUAUGGGAGUGUCACAUGGUGUUCACGGUCCCACACAGAUCUUCGGAUUAUAAGUUUGAGAGUUGGCAGGCCCUCUCCUAGGAACUAAGAGCUUUGUAGGUAUGCUAUCAUUUAACUCCCCUGCUACAUCUGUGAUCAUUUUAUUGUCUUAGAGAAAUAAGUUACCCAAGGAGGGAACUAUAAAGCUGAGGUUUGAACGUUGAACUUCAUUUUUGGGUCUACUUCACCAACUUCAUUUGUGGGUUCAAAUGUUUCCCACCGUUUGUUUGAGAAUCUGGAGUUUCUUUCUAAUAACGAUGAUGAUUUUUCAAGCUGUCCUCAAACUCCCCAUGUAGCCAAAGAUGACCUUGAAAUCCUUAUCCUCCUGUCUCCACCUUCCACAUGCUGGGAUUACAGGUAUGUGCUACAACACUCAGUUUUUCCCCCCACCCCCUUUCAAGAUCUAGUUACUUAUUUUAUUUAUGAGGUACCAUGUGGUUGCUGGGAAUUGAACUCAAGACCCCUGGAAGAUGCUUGCAAGUUGGGGAGGAAAGGGUUUAUUCAGCGUACACUUCCACCUUGCUGUUCAUCACCAAAAGAAGUCAGGACUGGAACUCAAGCAGGUCAGGAGGCAGGAGCUGAUGCAGAGGCCAUGGAGGCUUGCUUCCCCUGGCUUGCUUUCUUAUAGAACUCAAGACUACCAGCUCAGGGACGGUACCACCCACCAUGGUCUGGGUCUUCCCUCCUUGAUCACUAUGCCUUACAGUUGGAUCUCAUGGAGGCAUUUCCACAACGGAGGCUCCUUUCUCUGCAAUAACUCCAGCUUGUGUCAAGUUGACACACAAAACCAGCCAGUACAACAAGCAUACUACCAACUGUGUUCCUUCUCUGGCUUGACUUUAGAGCAUGAGCCCACAUUUUGCAGCAUUCAGCUUCCUUUUAUAGUUUGUCUGCUUCUUGUCUCAAAUCUCACAGACUCCCCCUCACCCCCGCCCACCUCUUUAAAGCUAAAUGUGGCUUGAACUACUAUUGAUGAGAAAGAACCCUGCCUACAGGGCAGAACAAAUGUAUUCCUAGUCCCGCGGCCACCGAGAGGUCUUUAGGGAUAUAGCUGUGCUGUGUCAACUCAGUCUUCCUCGAGAUGCAGAUCAGGUAUGCAUUCCCGCAGGGGGACAGGAGAGUGGGAGAGCAUUAGGGCAGCUGCCAAGGCAAGAAAGGGAAUGUGUUUUCUGUCGGUUUUAUUCUCUUGUAUGACUGUAUCCCCUUACAUGUAGAAGAUACUAUAGCCUUUGAAUGAAUUUGGGUGUUUACAAGGACACAGGGUACCUUAUAAUUCUAGGUUGACUCGACACAGGUCAUCUCAGUCUUUUAUCGGAAAGGAAAUAACAUUUUACCAGACUCCUGUGAUGUAAAAAAGACACAUUAUCCGAGAGUGAGGGAAAAAUAAGUAAGCCUAAAGGCAGGGCAAGAGGGAACACAUCAAAUCGCAGAAGCCAACAACUGAACACACACAGACAACACCUUUAAGAAUAUAAAUAAAAAAGUGACCCCCCCCCUCUCCCAGCACAGUGAUGAUGCCUGUCCCCAUGGUUUUCUGGCUUGGCCACAAAGGCAGCUAGAAUGUUGCUACAUCCAGAAGGUGCGUUAUAUUUUCACUCAUUCCCACUCAAGCUGGUAGGUCUCACACUCGUGCGAAUUCCUCUUAGUGUUGUGAGGCAUUCGUUAGCAAAGACACGGGUUCCAGCCAAUAGAAAGACUUUACUAGCAGGUCAGCAACUACACUGCGGAUGUUUGAGACUGGAGUAGUCCAGAGCCUUUCUCAGGAUGACCUUUUAAGCCCACACCUGGCUUGACACACCUCAGGUAGCAAGAAGGGUUAGUCAGAAUUGGAACAAAAGAAGCCAAAGGCAAAGCUAGUGCAUUUAGGGAUGUUUCCAGGACUAUGGACGUUGAUGGGCUAGAUCUUUGCUCUUGUUUUGGCUGGUGUUGUUGCCUAUGUGCUGGGUUGCAGGGCCUGCAUGGUACUCCACUUGUAGCAUCAUUGGUGCUAAGGUCAGGGGACCUCUUACAUGAGCUGCUGUGCUGUCCAACCAUUUCCUUGCUUUCUCCUUUCGAGGUUCUCAUAGACCCAGUGUUGAAGUCAUGGCUGCCUGCCCUAUUGCGCAAGCUAGCUUGACCAUUACUACUGGUCUCCAUAUCUCAAAGGCAGGGAUUUAUUCCAUGGUACCAAAAUCACCCUGCCCGGGUCAGGACCAGAUGAGUCCCAGCAAAGAGUAUCUAUCUCCCUUUCACAUCCAAAGAAUACACAUGGUCAGACCCGUGGCUCCAGCUGCAUAUGAAGCAGAGGAUGACCUUGUUGGGCACCAAUGGGAGGAGAAGCCCUUGGUCCUGCCAAGGUUGGACCCCUUAUCCCCCAGUGUAGGGGAAUGUCAGGGC